GCAUGCAUGUCUAAGUAUAAGCAAUUAUACCGCGAAACUGCGAAUGGCUCAUUAUAUAAGUUAUCGUUUAUUUGAUAGUACCUUACUACUUGGAUAACCGUGGUAAUUCUAGAGCUAAUACAUGCUAAAAAUCCCGACUUCGGAAGGGAUGUAUUUAUUAGAUUAAAAACCAAUGCCCUUCGGGGCUCACUGGUGAUUCAUGAUAACUCCUCGAAUCGCAUGGCCUUGCGCCGGCGAUGGUUCAUUCAAAUUUCUUCCCUAUCAACUUUCGAUGUUUGGGUAUUGGCCAAACAUGGUUGCAACGGGUAACGGAGGGUUAGGGCUCGACCCCGGAGAAGGAGCCUGAGAAACGCUACUACAUCCAAGGAAGGCAGCAGGCGCGCAAAUUACCCAAUCCCGACACGGGGAGGUAGUGACAAUAAAUACUGAUACAGGGCUCUUUUGGGUCUUGUAAUUGGAAUGAGUACAAUUUAAAUCCCUUAACGAGGAACAAUUGGAGGGCAAGUCUGGUGCCAGCAGCCGCGGUAAUUCCAGCUCCAAUAGCGUAUAUUAAAGUUGUUGUGGUUAAAAAGCUCGUAGUUGAACCUUGGGCCUGGCUGGCCGGUCCGCCUCACCGCGUGUACUGGUCCGGCCGGGCCUUUCCCUCUGUGGAACCCCAUGCCCUUCACUGGGUGUGGCGGGGAAACAGGACUUUUACUGUGAAAAAAUUAGAGUGCUCCAGGCAGGCCUAUGCUCGAAUACAUUAGCAUGGAAUAAUAGAAUAGGACGUGUGGUUCUAUUUUGUUGGUUUCUAGGACCGCCGUAAUGAUUAAUAGGGACAGUCGGGGGCAUCAGUAUUCACUGUA
rnacentral:rRNA from 1 species